GAUGAAGAACGUAGCGAAAUGCGAUACGUAAUGUGAAUUGCAGAAUUCAGUGAAUCAUCGAGUCUUUGAACGCACAUUGCGCCCCCUGGUAUUCCGGGGGGCAUGCCUGUCCGAGCGUCAUUACAACCCUCAAGCUCAGCUUGGUGUUGGGCCCCGCCGCCCCGGCGGGCCCUAAAGUCAGUGGCGGUGCCGUCCGGCUCCGAGCGUAGUAAUUCUUCUCGCUCUGGAGGUCCGGUCGUGUGCUCGCCAGCAACCCCCAAUUUUUUUCAGGUUGACCUCGUAUCAGGUAGGGAUACCCGCUGAACUUAAGCAUAUCAAUAAGCGGAGGA
rnacentral:misc_RNA from 1 species